GAUGAACGCUGGCGGCGUGCUUAACACAUGCAAGUCGAACGAAGCAUUUAGAACAGAUUACUUCGGUUUGAAGUUCUUUAUGACUGAGUGGCGGACGGGUGAGUAACGCGUGGGUAACCUGCCUUGUACUGGGGGAUAGCAGCUGGAAACGGCUGGUAAUACCGCAUAAGCGCACAAUGUUGCAUGACAUGGUGUGAAAAACUCCGGUGGUAUAAGAUGGACCCGCGUCUGAUUAGCUAGUUGGUGAGAUAACAGCCCACCAAGGCGACGAUCAGUAGCCGACCUGAGAGGGUGACCGGCCACAUUGGGACUGAGACACGGCCCAGACUCCUACGGGAGGCAGCAGUGGGGAAUAUUGCACAAUGGAGGAAACUCUGAUGCAGCGACGCCGCGUGAGUGAAGAAGUAAUUCGUUAUGUAAAGCUCUAUCAGCAGGGGAGAUAGUGACGGUACCUGACUAAGAAGCUCCGGCUAAAUACGUG
rnacentral:rRNA from 1 species